GAUGAACGCUGGCGGCGUGCCUAAUACAUGCAAGUCGAGCGAACAGACGAGGAGCUUGCUCCUCUGACGUUAUCGGCGGACGGGUGAGUAACACGUGUAUAACCUACCUAUAAGACUGGGAUAACUUCGGGAAACCGGAGCUAAUACCGGAUAAUAUAUUGAACCGCAUUGUUCAAUAGUUAAAUACGGUUUUUCUGUGACUUAUAGAUUGAUCCGCCCCGCAUUAGUUAGUUGGUAAGGUAACGGCUUACCAAGGCGACGAUGCGUAGCCGACCUGAGAGGGUGAUCGGACACACUGGAACUGAGACAGGGUCCAGACACCUACGGGAGGCAGCAGUAGGGAAUCUUACGCAAUGGGCGAAAGGCUGACGGAGCAACGCCGCGUGAGUGAUGAAGGUGUUCGGAUCGUAAAACUCUGUUAUUAGGGAAGAAGAAAUGUGUAAGUAACUAUGAACGUAUUGACGGUACCUAAACAGAAAGCCACGGCUAACUACGUG
rnacentral:rRNA from 1 species